rnacentral:rRNA from 1 species
UACGUAGGGGGCAAGCGUUGUUCGGAAUUACUGGGCGUAAAGGGCGCGUAGGCGGCAUGGCAAGUCAGGAGUGAAAGGCCUGGGCUCAACCGAGGAACUGCUUUUGAUACUGCCAAGCUAGAGUGCGGAAGGGGCAACUGGAAUUCCCAGUGUAGCGGUGAAAUGCGUAGAUAUUGGGAAGAACACCGAUGGCGAAGGCAAUCCCCUGGGCCUGCACUGACGCUCAUGCACGAAAGCGUGGGGAGCAAACAGG